rnacentral:rRNA from 1 species
UGGGGAAUUUUGGACAAUGGGCGCAAGCCUGAUCCAGCAAUGCCGCGUGUGCGAAGAAGGCCUUCGGGUUGUAAAGCACUUUUGUCAGGAAAGAAAACCAUUGGGCUAAUACCCUAGUGGGAUGACGGUACCUGAAGAAUAAGCACCGGCUAACUACGUGCCAGCAGCCGCGGUAAUACGUAGGGUGCGAGCGUUAAUCGGAAUUACUGGGCGUAAAGCGUGCGCAGGCGGUUGUGUAAGACAGAUGUGAAAUCCCCGAGCUUAACUUGGGAAUUGCAUUUGUGACUGCAUAACUAGAGUGCAUCAGAGGGGGGUGGAAUUCCACGUGUAGCAGUGAAAUGCGUAGAGAUGUGGAGGAACACCAAUGGCGAAGGCAGCCCCCUGGGAUGACACUGACGCUCAUGCACGAAAGCGUGGGGAGCAAACAGG